AGAGAUUCAUCGUCAGCGACCCCGUCUCCUGUGCGGCUCGCGAUUUCGUCACGGGGGUAGCUUCGGCGAUCCCGUGGGCGGAACGCGUCCGCGCGGUCUCGGGUGUCGUCGGCGUGCACUUCUCGCCUAGUAGGACGUCGCGACCCGUUGGGUGUCGGUCUACGGCCCGGGUGUGUCGCCUGCACCGUCGCUUCGGCGUCGCGGUGCAGACCCCCGGUAGCCCGACCGGCUGCCCGACGGUACUCGCACGGUAUCGAGCCGCAGCAAUUUGAACUGCGUCCGUCGCGCCGCANGCCGUAUCAGUGUCAACCCGGACGCCACGGACCUAGAAGCCGUCGCCGGGCCUGAUCGGCUGUUGGUCGGCGCUGCACUUGGACAGGCUCGCAAAUUGAAUUAUGAUACCGGUCGGCGACGCUACUGCUUUGGGUACUUUCAGGACCCGUCUUGAAACACGGACCAAGGAGUCUAACAUGUGCGCGAGUCAUUGGGUACAUGCAAGCCUAAAGGCGCAAUGAAAGUGAAGGUCGGCCUCGCGCCGACCGAGGGAGGAUGGACCGUGUCCCGAUGCGGUCCCGCACUCCCGGGGCGUCUCGCUCUCAUCGCGAGAAGAGGCGCACCCAGAGCGUACACGUU
rnacentral:rRNA from 1 species